rnacentral:rRNA from 1 species
GACGAACGCUGGCGGCGUGCUUAACACAUGCAAGUCGAACGGAAAGGCCCUGCUUUUGUGGGGUGCUCGAGUGGCGAACGGGUGAGUAACACGUGAGUAACCUGCCCUUGACUUUGGGAUAACUUCAGGAAACUGGGGCUAAUACCGGAUAGGAGCUCCUGCUGCAUGGUGGGGGUUGGAAAGUUUCGGCGGUUGGGGAUGGACUCGCGGCUUAUCAGCUUGUUGGUGGGGUAGUGGCUUACCAAGGCUUUGACGGGUAGCCGGCCUGAGAGGGUGACCGGCCACAUUGGGACUGAAAUACGGCCCAGACUCCUACGGGGGGCAGCAGUGGGGAAUAUUGCACAAUGGGCGGAAGCCUGAUGCAGCAACGCCGCGUGCGGGAUGACGGCCUUCGGGUUGUAAACCGCUUUCGCCUGUGACGAAGCGUGAGUGACGGUAAUGGGUAAAGAAGCACCGGCUAACUACGUG